GGGGAUGUAGCUCAGAUGGUAGAGAUAGAUGGUAGAGAUGCGGGGGAUCGAUACCCCGCAUCUCCA